CGUAUCUAUUUGAUGGUAUAUGUUGUAUAACAAUUUUAUAGUCCAUAAUCUAUACUUUAAGUGCAGAUACGUAUGACAACAUUAACCAAAAACUUGAUGUGAAUGUGUACAUUCACUAGUAUAUGUCUAAAUAUUUUAUUAUUUUUCAACAUUCACCAAUUUAAAAGGUUUAUGUCGACAUUAACCCAUCAACAUCAUGUAUCUUUCUUU